AUACGGAGGAUCCGAGCGUUAUCCGGAUUUAUUGGGUUUAAAGGGUGCGCAGACGGGAGAUUAAGUCGGCGGUGAAAUUUUGCAGCUCAACUGUAAAAGUGCCUUCGAAACUGGUUUCCUUGAGUGUAGAUGAAGUAGGCGGAAUUUGUGGUGUAGCGGUGAAAUGCAUAGAUAUCACGAGGAACUCCGAUUGCGCAGGCAGCUUACUAAACUACUACUGACGCUCAGGCACGAAGGCGUGGGGAUCAAACAGGAUUAGAUACCCUGGUAGUCCACGCAGUAAACGAUGAUUACUAGCUGUUUGCGAUACAAUGUAGGCGGCUGAGCGAAAGCGUUAAGUAAUCCACCUGGGGAGUACGUUCGCAAGAAUGAAACUCAAAGGAAUUGACGGGG
rnacentral:rRNA from 1 species